rnacentral:sRNA from 1 species
AACCACUAGCUGUGCUAGUGGUUCCGAAAAGCUUUUAGCGAUGUAUCAAAAAAGUCCCCCUAAAGUGUUAUAUUAGAUAAGGUUUCCCGACCACUAACUAAUAUACAAAAGGAGG